UACGUAGGGGGCAAGCGUUGUCCGGAAUUAUUGGGCGUAAAGAGCGCGUAGGCGGUCCGAUAAGUCGGCUGUGAAAGUCAGGGGCUCAACCCUUGGAAGCCGGCCGAUACUGUCGGACUAGAGUCCGGAAGAGGCGAGUGGAAUUCCUGGUGUAGCGGUGAAAUGCGCAGAUAUCGGGAAGAACACCCGUGGCUAAGGCGGCUCUCUAGUACGGUACUGACGCUGAGACGCGAAAGCGUGGGGAGCGAACAGG
rnacentral:rRNA from 1 species